rnacentral:rRNA from 1 species
CGAAAGGCCCCUUCGGGGGCCGAGUAGAGUGGCGCACGGGUGAGUAACACGUAGGUAAUCUACCUCUGGGUGGGGAAUAACAGUCGGAAACGGCUGCUAAUACCGCAUAACGCAGCGGCACCACAUGGUGACAGUUGUUAAAGCGGGGGAACUUCGGUCCUCGCGCCUGGAGAGGAGCCUGCGGCGGAUUAGCUAGUUGGUAGGGUAACGGCCUACCAAGGCAACGAUCCGUAGCCGGCCUGAGAGGGCGGUCGGCCACACUGGCACUGACAUACGGGCCAGACUCCUACGGGAGGCAGCAGUCGGGAAUUUUGGGCAAUGGGCGAAAGCCUGACCCAGCAACGCCGCGUGAAGGAUGAAGUUUCUCGGAAUGUAAACUUCACAAGAAUGGGAAGAAUAAGUUUUGGCUAAUAUCCAAAACGAUGACGGUACCAUUUGUAAGCUCCGGCUAACUCCGUGCCAGCAGCCGCGGUAAUACGGGGGGAGCAAGCGUUGUUCGGAUUUACUGGGCGUAAAGGGCGCGUAGGCGGCGUGACAAGUCACUUGUGAAAUCUCCGGGCUUAACUCGGAGCGGUCAAGUGAUACUGUCGUGCUAGAGUGCGGAAGGGGCUACUGGAAUUCUCGGUGUAGCGGUGAAAUGCGUAGAUAUCGAGAGGAACACCUGCGGCGAAGGCAGGUAGCUGGGCCGACACUGACGCUGAGGCGCGAAAGCUAGGGGAGCGAACGGGA